ensembl:lncRNA
UACAUCCUGCCUACCUACGAGAUGGCAAUGAAGAUGCCAGAGAAAGAGCCCCCUCCCCCCUACAUGCCUGACUGAAGACCCUGUUGCCCCCCCCCCCCCCCUCUACCCCCAUCUAUAUGAUGUGUGGGCCACCCAGAGCUCAUCAUUUUGCUCCACCGGCAUUUCUAGAGGAGGGAUACUCUUUAUAAAGUCUUGCUAACAUUCAAUAUUGUAGACAAGUGAGAGGGCAGAUGCCGUGUAGUGUGUAAAGCGAUGAAAGCUUUAGCACUGUUCGUUCCUUGUCUAGCCCCGUCUUUUGAUGCCUUAAUAAAUAAAUAAAAAGGGAUAUUGUGAAAGUACCAUCGCUUCAAUGCCUUUCACCAGUCCAGCUGUAGAAAAACAAUAUCCUUUCCUUAUAGAUUGAUAUAACGCGUGAAUGUAAAAAGGAAUACUCUUAAGACAAUCCACUUAUGAUAACUCUCUUUAUCCUUGAAUUGUUUUUGCUUGUUAAAAUAUCUAGAUUUUUCUAAGAGUUUGAUUGGGACGUUUGAAGCACUUUCUCUAUCCCUUCAUUUAUUUAGCCUUGGACAUCCAUUCGCCACCUGUGUGCCAUGUUCAUUCUCCGCCACCGCCUUUGUGACCUUGCGUUGUUAGCUUAGUCGUUAGUGUAUUGUGUUGCAGUUUGAAGCGUCCACACUGCUGGUUAAAGGGAUAGUACACCAACAGUUGGCAGAUGUUUUCAGACCUCAAAAUUUGUCCAUGUCAAGAUGAAUAAUAAGACUUAACAAAAGUCCGCUUUGGAGGACUGAAAUCAGACAACUUUGUUUUUAAGUGGACUGUCCCUUAAGGAGAGCGUAAGGUUCACCUGAAGGGACGAACGGCUAGUGUGAACAGUGUUGAUCCAUGCUACUCUUUCUUUACCCAUUGUGUUUUGAUCCUUUGAUCCUUACAUUGUGUUUUGAUCCUUUGAUCCUUACAUUGUGUUUUGAUCCUUUGAUCCUUACAUUGUGUUUUGAUCCUUUGAUCCUUACAUUGUGUUUUGAAACCAAUAGCUUCAAUAAACCAUUCAAAAACAUUUUGUAUCCAUUACCCGACUGAGUCCAUUCAUUUUUACCUGAUGUGAGCAAAGAAACAUCCUAACUUUUUGUUGAGAACCUAUUUAGUUCUGUACUCAGGUUAAAUGCUCAUACCAGUCACUCUCCCCCCCCCCCCCUUGUUGCUGAAAGAUGACAGCCAGCGCUUAACUGUGAUGUUGCACAAUGAUUUAAGUCAAAAACUUGACUUACUCAAAUUAUUAUAUAUGUUGGCUUAAAUCCAAACUAUAUAUGUUUGACAAAUCCAAACUGCCCUCUGUGUUAAAAUCCAUGUGAAUGUGGUGUCUUUUCCUAUGAUAUACAAUUCUUUUGGGACUGGGUUUCAUUUAAAUGUUACCAUCUGCCAGCAUAGCAUUGUUUAUUAACAGAAAAGGCUGCAAAGGUCUUCUUUGUGACCGAGAUAAGCCAAACCGCCUUGUGUCUACUUGGCUACCUGAGACAUGGAGCUAAUUAAAAUAGGAGGGGAACUUUUGUUUUUGCACCUCCAUUUGGGGGGGGGGGGGUGAAUUAUCAUAAUUGGUUCAUUUGUAAAUUCACUUAUUGUUGAGCUAGUCUGUAAAAAAUAUAUUGCCAUUUUAUAAAUUGAUAUAAUUGCGCGAUAGCAAUUACUGCCCCACUGUGUCUUUUACAAUGUAGAAAAAUGCAUAUCAGCGAUCUUUUGAAUAGUUAUCCAUAUUACGAGAGCUUCAACUAUUUAUAUGGUGGAUUCACGGCCGCAAUUUAUGGAAAAUCCCAAACUUUGCAGAUCAAAGAUAGGUUUGUGGUUUCCAUCUGUGGCGAAAUUUCUUCUGGAUUUCGUUGGUGGAUCACAUCCAACUUUUAGGUGCAUGCACCGCCCCCUACUGUACUAGUGUGAGGCCAUUCAUUUCUGCAGUACAAUUGACAACCAUGGCUAUGAAUGCUAAAAAGCCCACCUUACUGAAGUAGAUAUUCUUCCAUCAUUCUCUCUUGGUCUCUGCUCCUCUACCACUCCCUUCACUGCUUUGGCAGACAACACUUUCUGUACUACUCUAACCCUGGCAACCUCAACCUGCCUUUUCACCGGACACCUGAUCUCCAGCCCCACGGACACAGCUAACACACACAACUUUCUCCACCAACUACACAUUCCUGCGUCUCAUGCCCUCCUGCACACUACUCUCAUCUAUGAAUCUCCGUCUUACACACUGUUGCAACAUGCCAAUAAACUUGACACCGUAGUAUUUUCGGCGCAAUUCCCGUAGUAUAUUUCCCACGCUCUCCACCGGAUCUGUGUCGCACCAAACAGCGGUCAUCCCAGACACCAGGAAUCUUCCAUUUCAACUGAUCCUCAACACUUAAUGGCACCCCGUUAUCACUCAUUUCAAUGGCACCCUGCUCCGGAGAGUAAAGAAAGUCACAUUUAUUGUCCCUAAUCGUGUAAUCUGGAGCGCCAGCUCCCUCUAGACUGAAAUAACACAGUAAAUCAUCACUAAUCCACUCCGUUCACCAACUCAACAGUCCCGAAUCUCUUCUCCACCCAACCCGACACCACGUAUGGAUCAGCCAAAAUUCAAGGAUCCAUUCUCUCCACAAACCUCACUCCCACUGGACCAGAAUUAU